GAAGUCGUAACAAGGUAUCCGUAGGUGAACCUUCGGAUGGAUCAUUAACGCUAUUCUAUUCUUCGGUGACCAUUCUCUCUCUUCUUGAGGAAGGAUGUGCUCUCCGUAGGACCAUUUGCGAACCUUUGAAGUUUGUAACAAUUUUGUGAAACUUUUUUUACAGAAUAAACACUCUUGGAUCACAUUGUCACUAAUCUUUGCCUCUUUUGGCGGGAGAUGAUGUUUUCGUCGUUUUUUGGCAAGCGCCACUAAACUCUUAAUGCUAAGCAAAUUGUUUUUAAAAUAAUUUGUGAUUUAUUACACAACUUAUAGCAAUGGAUACCUUGGCUC
rnacentral:misc_RNA from 1 species